GGACUGAUGAAGAGUCCCAAACUAGGACGAAACAGCUGUCCAGUAC
rfam:Trichobilharzia regenti genome assembly, scaffold: TRE_scaffold0006598